rnacentral:rRNA from 1 species
UACGGGGGGGGGCAAGCGUUGUUCGGAAUUACUGGGCGUAAAGCGCGCGUAGGCGGCUUUUCAAGUCAGACGUGAAAUCCUUAGGCUUAACCUGAGAACUGCGUUUGAAACUACGAGGCUCGAGUGUGUCAGAGGGGGGGGUGGAAUUCCACGUGUAGCAGUGAAAUGCGUAGAGAUGUGGAGGAACACCAAUGGCGAAGGCAGCCCCCUGGGAUAACACUGACGCUCAUGCACGAAAGCGUGGGGAGCAAACAGG